rnacentral:tRNA from 1 species
GACUUAAAAGUCUUUUUAGAUUCCAGUUUGCAAGACUGGAGGAGCAAUUACUAAUUUGCUUAAGUUU